AUAUCAGUCAUGCAUAGCAUAUCAAUAAGCGGAGGAAAAGAAACUAACAAGGAUUCCCUUAGUAACGGCGAGUGAAGCGGGAAGAGCUCAAAUUUGAAAUCUUCAAGGUUUUACCUUGACGAAUUGUAGUUUAAAGAAGUGCUUUCUGUUGAAGUUUUGGUAAAAGUUCUUUGGAAUAGGACAUCAUAGAGGGUGAGAAUCCCGUAUUUGACCAUUACUUUCAGCUUUGUGAUACACUUUCAAAGAGUCGGAUUGUUUGGGAAUGCAGUCCAAAAUGGGUGGUAAAUUUCAUCUAAAGCUAAAUAUUGGCGAGAGACCGAUAGCGAACAAGUACCGUGAGGGAAAGAUGAAAAGAACUUUGAAAAGAGAGUUAAUCAGUACGUGAAAUUGUCAAAAGGGAAGCGUUUGACACCAGUGUUGUUUUCUCGAAAAUCAAUUAAAAAGAGUUGGAUUUUGUGUUGUAUUGACUUUAUCAGCUUUCUUCACUCUUUUCCAGCUUUUUUUAAUGCACUUUUCGUUUAACAAGUCAACAUCAGUUUCUUUUGUUGUAAAAAGGUCAUUGGAAGGUGGCUUUCUCUUCGGAGAAAGUGUUUAUAGCCUUUGACUCAUGCAAUCGGAGAGACUGAGGUCUGCAGCGUAGAUCCUUCGGGGUUAGAUACAGUUUGUGCUAAGUUAUAGCUUUUCAUAGACAACUUGUUGACUAUGUUUAGUCUUGUAGCUUACUCGCUUAUGCUAUUUUACCUACGCUUAGGAUGUUGAACUCUAUCACACACAG
rnacentral:rRNA from 1 species